UUUCUAUCCUAUUAGGUCCAAGGACACAGUUAUCGUCCUUUGGUUUUCGUUGUCUACGAAUAUAGUCCCUAGUGUGAACAGUGUAUAACUUGCAUUUUUUUUUAUACACUUUCCCAAUUUAUUACUUGAUAUUUUAUGCAUGAAAUAUUAAGUAAGGGGAUGAAAUUACAUGUUAAAAAAAUUUGGGUGCUGAAUCUUUAUGUUAAGUAGUGAUUUGGUCCAGUUAAAAAAGGUCAAAAAUUAGAAUGUCUGAAGCUGUCAAACUGAAUUUUAGCCCCCCUUAACACAGAAUUGUCAAUAUUUUGAGUUAGAGCUGGUACAAGUUUCUAUAAUUUUGAUAUUAUUUGUAUCAAUAGUAGUACACUACACAGUAAAAAUCUUUUCGAGAUAGAGCAGGUGCGAUUUUUUUAAUUUGAAUUUACUGUCUAAAAGAAAUGCACUACGAAAUAACUGUGUUCUCGGGCCAGUAUUGUGCAAAAGAAGAUACUUCAUAUAAAUUGCUUAUUUCUUGACCAAUUUCAAUGGGGUUUUAUUCUUGAAUUCUUGGGGUUCUUUAAUAUGCUGAUUCUAACCGUGUAUUAAGUUUUUGGAUUUUGGGCCCCGUUUUUAAAUUGGUCCACAUUGAGGUCCAAAGGGUCCAAAAUUAAACUUUGUUUGAUUUCAUCAAAAAUUGAAUUAUUGGGGUUCUUUGAUAUGCCGAAUCUAACCGUGUAUUUAGAUUCUUAAUUUUUGGUUCCGUUUUCAAAUUGGUCUACAUUAAGGUCCAAAGGGUCCAAAAUUAAACUUAGUUUGAUUUUAACAAAAAUUGAAUUCUUAGGGUUCUUUGAUAUGCUGAAUCUAAACAUGUAUUUAGAUUUUUAUACGACCGCAAAAAAAUUUUGUGGUCGUAUAUUGGUAUGACGUUGGCGUCGUCGUCGUCGUCGUCGUCGUCGUCGUCCGGCGUCGUCGUCGUCGUCGUCGUCCGGCGUCGUCGUCCGAAUACAUAUUGGUUUUCGCACUCUAACUUUAGUUUAAGUGAAUGGAUCUUUUUGAAAUUUGACCAUAAGGUUAAAUACCACAAAAGGAAGGUUGGGAUUGAUUUUGGGGGUUAUGGUACCAACAGUUAAGGAAUUAGGGGCCAAAAAGGGGCCAAAAAUGAGCAUUUUCUAGUUUCCAGACAAUAACUGUGGAACGGUGUAUGGAUCUCUCUGAAAUUAUACUACAAGUUUCCAUACCACAAAGGGAUGGUUAGGAUUUGCUUUGGGGGGUUAUAGCUCAAACCGUUUAGGAAUUAGGGGCAAAAAAGGGGGAAAAACAAGGUUGUCCUGGUUAAUGGACAAAUACUUUAGUACAAAACAUAAUUUAAAGCAGUGUAAGGGAGAUAAAUCAAAUACAUCAUUGAAAUUAUCUCCCUUACACUGCUUUUAAAUUAUGUAUAUAGUAAUGGUUAAUGAACAAUAAAGAUAAUCUAAAACAGUGUAAGGGAGGUAAUCCAAAUACAACGUUUUGGCUACUUCCCUUACACUGCUUUUAAAUUAUGUUUAAAGAAAUGCAUAUUUAUAAAGGAAGACCAGUAAAAAUAUCUGCAAAUGUUUUCAUCUUUUUUUUUUACAAAAAAAUCCAUAUGAAAGAUUUGACACUAUAUUUUUAUUAAUUCUAUUAUAAAAUAGAUUAAGUUAGCACUAUGGUAAAUUUAAAUGGGUAAUUAUGGUUGCCAACUCCAUUGGAAAUUUGAAUUGAGAUUAUGACCAUAUCUUGAGGGAAAGAAUUUUUUUGGGGGAAAAAGGGGGGGGGGAUAAAAAGAAAUUGUGGGGGGCCAAUUUUUUCUCAUUUCAGAUUUCAGAAAUUAAAAAGAAUUAUUCUUCAAAUAUUAUUUUUUUUUCAAAUUUCAAAUAUUGAAAAAUUUCAAGAAGUAAUCUUUAAUUGCACAGUAUGGCGCAUUAGAUUUGUAAAAUCUUUGAUCACAUUUAUUUAUUUGUUAUGCCGAAUCUAACAGUGUAUUUAGAUUUUUAAUUUUGGGUCCAGUUUUCAAAUUGGUCUACAUUAAUGUCCAAAGGGUCCAAAAUUAAACUUUGUUUGAUUUUAGCAAAAAAUGAAUAUAUGAGGUUCUUUGAUAUGCUGAAUCUAAACAUGUAUUUAGAUUUUUGAUUUUUGGCCCAGUUUUCAAGUUGGUCCAAAUUGGGGUCCAAAAUUAAACUUUGUUUGAUUUCAACAAAAAUUGAAUAUAUGGGGUUCUUUGAUAUGCUGAAUCUAACCAUGUAUUUAGAUUUUUUAUUUGUGGACCCCGUUAUCUAAUUGGUUCAUAUUGAGGUCAAAAGGGUCCAAAAUUAAACUUUGUUUGAUUUCAUCUAAAAUUGAAUUAUUGGGGUUCUUUGAUAUUCCAAAUCUAACUGUGUAUUUAGGUUUUUGUCGAGCCUGCGACUUUUGUCGCAGAAAGCUCGACAUAGGGAUAGCGAUCCGGCGGCGGCGGCGGCGGCGGCUACGGCGGCGGCGGCGGCGUUAGCUAACUUCUUAAAAGCUUUAUAUUUUAGAAGGUGGAAGACCUGGAUGCUUCAUACUUUGUAUAUGGAUGCCUCAUGUUACGAAGUUUCCGUCAGUCACAUGUCCAAUUUCCUUGACCUCAUUUUCAUGGUUCAGUGACUACUUGAAAAAAAAGUUCAGAUUAUUUGUAAUGUUAAAUUCUCUCUUAUUAUAAGUAAUAGGAUAACUAUAUUUAGUAUGUGCGUACCUUGCAAGGUCCUCGUGCCUGUCAGACAGUUUUCACUUGACCUCGACCUCAUUUCAUGGAUCAGUGAACAAGGUUAAGUUUUGGUGGUCAAGUCCAUAUCUCAGAUACUAUAAGCAAUAGGUCUAGUAUAUUUGGUGUAUGGAAGGACUGUAAGGUGUACAUGUCCAACUGGCAGGUGUCAUCUGACCUUGACCUCAUUUUCAUGGUUCAGUGGUUAUAGUUAAGUUUUUGUGUUUUGGUCUGUUUUUCUUAUACUGUAUGCAAUAGGUCUAUUAUAUUUGGUGUAUGGAAUGAUUGUAAGGUGUACAUGUCCAACUGGCAGGUGUCAUCUGACCUUGACCUCAUUUUCAUGGUUCAGUGGUUAUAGUUAAGUUUUUGUGUUUUGGUCUGUUUUUCUUAUACUGUAUGCAAUAGGUCUAUUAUAUUUGGUGUAUGGAAUGAUUGUAAGGUGUACAUGUCCAACUGGCAGGUGUCAUCUGACCUUGACCUCAUUUUCAUGGUUCAGUGGUUAUAGUUCAGUUUUGUGUUUUGGUCCGUUUUUCUUAUACUUUAUCCAAUAGGUCUACUAUAUUUGGUGUAUGGAAUGAUUGUAAGGUGUACAUGUCCAACUGGCAGGUGUCAUCUGACCUUGACCUCAUUUUCAUGGUUCAGUGGUUAUAGUUAAGUUUUUGUGUUUUGGUCCGUUUUUCUUAUACUUUAUCCAAUAGAUCUACUAUAUUUGGUGUAUGGAAUGAUUGUAAGGUGUACAUGUCCAACUGGCAGGUGUCAUCUGACUUUGUCCUCAUUUUCAUGGUUCAGUGGUCAAAUUUAAGUUUUUGAGUUUUGGUCUUUUUUCUUAUACUAUUAUGCAAUAAGUCAACUAUAUUUGGUGUAUGGAAAUAUUCUAUGAUGUACAUGUCAGUCUCGCAGGUUUUAUUUGACCUUGACCUCAUUUUCACAGUUCAUUGCUCAGUGUUAAGUUUAUGUGUUUCAGUCUGUUUUUCUUAAACUAUAAGCAAUAGGUCAGCUAUAUUUGUUGUAUGGAAGGAUUGUAAGCUGUUCAUGUCUGCCUGGCAUGGUUCAUCUGACUUUGACCUCAUUUUCACGAUUCAUUGGUCAAUGUUUAGUUUUCUUGGUUAAGUCUGUUUCUUAGAAACUAUAAGCAAUAGGUCAACUAUAUUUAGUGUAUUGAAUGAUUGUAAGGUGUACAUGUAUUUCUUGUUUGGUUUAUAUGACCUUGACUUCAUUUUCUUGGAUCAUGUUAAGUUUAUGUAAUAGUUGUAGUAAAGCUUUCAUUUAGGACUAUCAACAUAAUAUCAAUGGUUAGUAAAGAAGGCGAGACAUUUCAGCGUGUCCACUCUUGUUAAUUUUGGGUCCCGUUUUUUAAAUUGGUCUACAUUAAGGUCCAAAGGGUCCAAAAUUAAACUUAGUUUGAUUUUAACAAAAAUUGAAUUCUUGGGGUUCUUUGAUUUGCUGAAUCUAAACAUGUGUUUAGAUUUUUGAUUAUGGGCCCAGUUUUCAAGUUGGUCCAAGAUAGGGUCCAGUAUUUAAACUUUGUUUGAUUUCAACAAAAAUUGAAUAUGUGGGGUUCUUUGAUAUGCUGAAUCUAAACAUGUAUUUAGAUUUUUGAUUAUGGGCCCAGUUUUCAAGUUGGUCCAAAUUGGGGUCCAAAAUUAAACUUUGUUUGAUUUCAACAAAAAUUGAAUAUAUGAGGUUCUUUGAUAUGCUGUAUCUAACCAUGUAUUUAGAUUUUUUUAUUUGUAGGCCCCGCUAUCAAAUUGGUUCAUAUUGAGGUCAAAAGGGUCCAAAAUUAAACUUUGUUUGAUUUCAUCGAAAAUUGAAUUAUUGGGGUUUUUUGAUAUGCCAAAUCUAACCGUGUUUUUAGAUUUUUAAUUUGGGUCCCGUUUUUUAAAUUGGUCUUCAUUGAGGUCCAAAGGGUCCAAAAUUAAACUUAGUUUGAUUUUAACAAAAAUUGAAUUCUUGGGGUUCUUUGAUAUGCUGAAUCUAAACAUGUGUUUAGAUUUUUGAUUAUGGGCCCAGUUUUCAAGUUGGUCCUAGUUGGGGUCCAAAAUUAAACUUUUUUUUAUUUCAACAAAAAUUGAAUAUAUGGGGUUCUUUGAUAUGCUGAAUCUAACCAUGAAUUUAGAAUUUUUAUUUGUGGGCCCCGCUAUCAAAUUGGUUUAUAUUGAGGUCAAAAGGGUCCAAAAUUAAACUUUGUUUGAUUUCAUCAAAAAUUGAAUUAUUGGGGUUCUUUGAUAUUCCAAAUCUAACCGUGUAUUUAGAUUUUUAAUUUUAAGUCCCGUUUUUUAAAUUGGUCUACAUUAAGGUCCAAAAGGUCCAAAAUUAAACUUAGUUUGAUUUUAGCAAAAAUUGAAUUCUUGGGGUUCUUUGAUAUGCUGAAUCUAAACAUGUGUUUAGAUUUUUGAUUAUGGGCCCAGUUUUCAAGUUUGUCCAAGUUGGGGUCCAAAAUUAAACUUUGUUUGAUUUUAACAAAAAUUGAAUAUAUGGGGUUCUUUGAUAUGCUGAAUCUAACCAUGUAUUUUGAUUUUGGACAUUGGACCAUAAUAGGUAAAUUAAAAAAAUUCAAGUUCUUAGACCACAUUCUUUCUGUGUCAGAAACCUAUGCUGUGUCAAAUAUUUAAUAACAAUCCAAAUUCAGAGCUGUAUCAAGCUUGAAUGUUGUGUCCAUACUUGCCCCAACUGUUCAGGGUUUUGACCUCUGCGGUCGUAUCAAGCUGCGCCCCAGCGAAGCAUUUUAUUGAUUAUGGGCCCAGUUUUCAAGUUGGUCCACAUUGAGGUCAAAAGGGUCCAAAAUUAAACUUUGUUUGAUUUCAUCAAAAGUUGAAUUCUUGGGGUUCUUUGAUAUGCUGAAUCUAACCAUGUAUUUAGAUUUUGGAUAUUGGACCAUAAUAGGUGAAUGUCCAAUUUAAAAUUUUUAAGUUCUUAGACCACAUUCAUUCUGAGUCAGAAACCUAUGCUGUGUCAAAUAUUUAAUCACAAUCCAAAUUCAGAGCUGUAUCAAGCUUGAAUGUUGUGUCCAUACUUGCCCCAACUGUUCAGGGUUCGACCUCUGCGGUCGUAUCAAGCUGCGCCCUGCGGAGCAUUUUAUUUUAAAUUGGAGUUAUCUUCCUUUGUCCAUGAUUAUACCAUGAAGCUUUAUACAAUGCAAUGUUUAAUUUUGACUGAUAAAACACAGAUCAAGUUGAAUUUGGAUAGUGUCACUUUAACCAUUAUUGAGUUAUGCCACUUUAUAAAUCGAAAGAUUGCAAAAUUUUUAGUUUCCAUUCUGUAACUUAAGUUUGCCCAAACCAAACAUUAUGAAACCUAUACACAAUAUUCAUUACCACAAAACUAAGAUCAAGUACAAUUUUUUUUUCUGUUUUCUAACUUUAAAUCGCCUCAACCAAAUGUUAUGAAACUUAUACACAAUGCUUAUUACUACAUAAUACAGAUUAAGUACGCAAUUUGGUUGUAACACUUUUAGCAUUCUUGAGUUAUGUCCCUUUUUAAACAUAUAAAUUGCUGAAUUUUUCAUUUCCGUUCUCUAUAGUUUGUCUCAACCAAAUGUUAUAAAACUUAUACACAACUGUUCUAGAGUUAUGCGUGUUUACAAAUAGAAAAAUUACUGAAUUUUUAGUUUCUGUUCUCUACUUAAGUUAGCCGCAACCAAAUGUUAUGAGACUUACACACAAUGCUUAUUACCACAAAACUCAGAUCAAGUUCAAAUUUGGGUAGCGUCACUUUUACCGUCCUUCAGUUAUGUCCCUUUAUAACUUUAUGAUAUGCAAGCGGGGGCAUCAUCUGUGUCCACAUGUGGACACUAUCCACAUGUCGGACAUUAACUCAAAAACGCUUUAACCAAUUUGCAUAAAACUUUGUUGAAUUGUUUAUAUCUAUUGACGUUAGCU